UACAGAGGUCUCAAGCGUUGUUCGGAUUCAUUGGGCGUAAAGGGUGCGUAAGCGGCGCGGUAAGUCGGGUGUGAAAUCUUGGAGCUUAACUCCGAAACUGCAUUCGAUACUGGCGUGCUUGAGGACUGGAGAGGAGACUGGAAUUCAUGGUGUAGCAGUGAAAUGCGUAGAGAUCAUGAGGAAGACCAGUGGCGAAGGCGGGUCUCUGGACAGUUCCUGACGCUGAGGCACGAAGGUCAGGGGAGCAAACGGG
rnacentral:rRNA from 1 species